ACAAGCCUGGUCGCUGCGGAAACGGGCAAUGAGGUCGGACAGCAGGGCUCUGAUGGCUUUGGGGAAGGGAUGGAGGGGCUAGUGUUUGCAGAAUGGAGCCUGAAAGCUAUUAAGAGGUGACACAUGGAAGGCAAAUGUAGCCAGCCAGCUUCCCCAAACAGGGAGAAGGCUGGGACUGCGAUUCAGACAAAGUGGAUUAGCGGCCCCUGCCUGAGCCGCGCCCCGCCCAGAGCCAGCGCUGCACCCCGGAGCCUGAUUGCCUAUUCUGAGCUGGUUCAACUCGUAAUUUGUUGGCUCAAAGAAAGAGCUGGAGAGAAGAGAGUGAGGAAGAGAAGAGGCUCAGAUCCCAUAGGGGAAUGCCUAUCAAGCAGCAAUGGAGGCUCCUGGCUUUAGAACUGGCAAGUGAGGAAAGUUCUCAAGAGUCCAUCUGUGAUCUCAGCACUCAAGAGGGAGGGCCAGGAAGACUGAUACAGCCAGCCUGGGCCUGUAGAGAGAAAUAAAAGGGAUGGGCAACAGACACACAGAGAUUCUAACACCCUGAAGCUGAGACCAAGCAUCCUGCUUCUCGAGCAUGAGGAUGGAGCCAGGGCAGAGUUCUACCUUCCCCAGCAGCUCAGUCCACAGAGUGGAGAACUUGAAGAUUCAAGGUAAACAGCUCCUGCCAAAGGCCUCCACUUGACCCUCUUUGUAAACCUAAGAUUGUAAGUAAACCCUCAAUUAACCUCUUCUCCCA